rnacentral:tRNA from 1 species
GGGGCCGUAGCGCAGAGGUCGUCGCGCCCGCCUUCGGAGCGGGAGGACGCCGGUUCGAAUCCGGCCGGUCUCG